GAUCAUGGCUCAGGAUGAACGCUAGCUACAGGCUUAACACAUGCAAGUCGAGGGGAAACGAUAGAGAAAGCUUGCUUUUUCUAGGCGUCGACCGGCGCACGGGUGAGUAACGCGUAUCCAACCUGCCCACCACUUGGGGAUAACCUUGCGAAAGUAAGACUAAUACCCAAUGAUAUCUCUAGAAGACAUCUGAAAGAGAUUAAAGAUUCAUCGGUGAUGGAUGGGGAUGCGUCUGAUUAGCUUGUUGGCGGGGUAACGGCCCACCAAGGCGACGAUCAGUAGGGGUUCUGAGAGGAAGGUCCCCCACAUUGGAACUGAGACACGGUCCAAACUCCUACGGGAGGCAGCAGUGAGGAAUAUUGGUCAAUGGGCGAGAGCCUGAACCAGCCAAGUAGCGUGCAGGACGACGGCCCUAUGGGUUGUAAACUGCUUUUAUAAGGGAAUAAAGUGAGUCUCGUGAGACUUUUUGCAUGUACCUUAUGAAUAAGGACCGGCUAAUUCCGUG
rnacentral:rRNA from 1 species